UACAGAGGGGGCAAGCGUUGUUCGGAAUUACUGGGCGUAAAGGGCGCGUAGGCGGCCUGCUAAGUCAUACGUGAAAUCCCUCGGCUCAACCGGGGGAACUGCGUGUGAUACUGGCGGGCUUGAAUUCGGGAGAGGGAUGCGGAAUUCCAGGUGUAGCGGUGAGAUGCGUAGAUAUCUGGAGGAACACCGGGUGGCGAAGGCAAUCCCCCUGGGCCUGCACUGACGCUCAUGCACGAAAGCGUGGGGAGCAAACAGG
rnacentral:rRNA from 1 species